UAGAUACCCUGGUAGUCCACGCCCUAAACGAUGGAUACUAGACGAAGCGGAAUAUAAAGUCUGCUGUGUCGAAGCAAACGCGAUAAGUAUCCCGCCUGAGGAGUACGGCCGCAAGGUUGAAACUCAAAGAAAUUGACGGGGACCCGCACAAGCAGCGGAGCAUGUGGAUUAAUUCGAAGCAACGCGAAGAACCUUACCAAGACUUGACAUCGUAUGACAGACUAUGAAAGUAGUUUUCCCUUCGGGGCAUAUAGACAGGUGGUGCAUGGUUGUCGUCAGCUCGUGUCGUGAGAUGUUCGGUUAAGUCCGCUAACGAGCGCAACCCUUAUCCUUAGUUGCUAACAUUAAGUUGAGAACCCUAAGGAGACUGCCGGUGACAAACCGGAGGAAGGUGGGGAUGACGUCAAAUCAUCAUGCCCCUUACGUCUAGGGCUACAGGCGUGCUAUAAUGGCCGAUACAAUAAGAAGCAAUACUGUGAAGUGGAGCAAAUCUGUAAAGUCGGUCUCAGUUCGGAUUGAAGUCUGCAACUCGACUUCAUGAAGCUAGAAUCGCUAGUAAUCCCAAAUCAGAAUGUUGGGGUGAAUACGUUCCCGGGUGUUGUACACACCGCCCGUCAUGCCAUGAAAGUUUGUAAUACCCGAAUGUGGUAGCCUAACCUUUUAGGAGGGGGCCAUUUAAGGUAGGACAAGUGAUUGGGGUAAAGUCGUAACAAGGUAUCCCUACGAGAACGUGGGGAUG
rnacentral:rRNA from 1 species